rnacentral:rRNA from 1 species
AGGGAAUAUUGCAAAAUGGGCGAAAGCCCGAUGCAGCAACGCCGCGUGGGCGAUGAAGGCCUUCGGGUCGUAAAGCCCUUUUUGAGGGGAUGAGGAAGGACAGUACCCUCAGAAUAAGCCUCGGCUAACUACGUGCCAGCAGCCGCGGUAAAACGUAGGAGGCGAGCGUUAUCCGGAUUUACUGGGCGUAAAGCGCGUGCAGGCGGAUUGGGGAGUUGGAUGUGAAAGCUCCCGGCUUAACUGGGAGAGGUCGUUCAAUACUUCCAGGCUUGAGUGCAGUAGAGGGAAGUGGAAUUCCGGGUGUAGUGGUGAAAUGCGUAGAUAUCCGGAGGAACACCAGUGGCGAAAGCGGCUUCCUGGACUGUAACUGACGCUCAGACGCGAAAGC